CCUACGGGGGGCAGCAGUGAGGAAUAUUGGUCAAUGGCCGUAAGGCUGAACCAGCCAAGUCGCGUGAAGGAAGAAGGAUCUAUGGUUUGUAAACUUCUUUUAUAGGGGAAUAAAGGUAUCCACGUGUGGCUAUUUGCAUGUACCCUAUGAAUAAGCAUCGGCUAACUCCGUGCCAGCAGCCGCGGUAAUACGGAGGAUGCGAGCGUUAUCCGGAUUUAUUGGGGUUAAAGGGUGCGUAGGUUGUUUUUUAAGUCAGCGGUGAAAGUUUGUGGCUCAACCAUAAAAUUGCCGUUGAAACUGGAAGACUUGAGUGUGUUUGAGGUAGGCGGAAUGCGUGGUGUAGCGGUGAAAUGCAUAGAUAUCACGCAGAACUCCGAUUGCGAAGGCAGCUUACUAAGCAAUAACUGACACUGAAGCACGAAAGCGUGGGGAUCAAACAGGAUUAGAUACCCCAGUAGUC
rnacentral:rRNA from 1 species